CGCCCAGUCUCUCAGUCUGGUGAAGAACUUUGCUCUGCGAACGAGUCCUAGCUGACGCAUAUUGACAAUGGAAAUCACAUGACGGCGCUCGCUCCAUGGGCUCAAAACAGACAUGCCCACAUCCUGACCUACAACCAUGUCCAAAUGGCAGCUCUGGGAUGGAAGCUGCUGCCUCUGGGACUGCAGGUGGAGCCCCUAGAGGCUGCUCAGUGAGGGGCUCACAUCAUGCUGCUGACUGAAGGAGCCCGAGGAGCAGCAGGACCUGACUGGACUGGACUAAGCCUGGAUAUGUGAUGCAUCAGUCCACCUGUCGCCCCCCAUGGUCCAGCACUGAGCUGCUUUGACCAACACUCGUCUUCUGAGGAGCAGCAGGACUGGACUAAGCCUGGAUAUGUGAUGCAUCAGUCCACCUGCCGCCCCCCCAGUGGUCCAGCACUGAGGCUGCUAACAGGACUUAAACAUUAGUUUAAGUCCUGUUAGCAGAGGACGGCACUGAGCUGCUUUGACCAACACUCGUCUUCUCCGAGGAGCAGCAGGACCUGCCUCGACUAAGCCUGGAUAUGUGAUGCAUCAGUCCACCUGCCGCCCCCCAUGGUCCAGCACUGAGGCUUUGAACAGGACUUAAACAUUGGGUUUAAAUGUCCUAAAGGAAUUGCCUACCUUAUCUACAGGAGAUGAUUGUCCUGUAUAAACAACUUUGAAAUGUUUAUCAUGUACACAUAUUCAAAUAUAUGCUCUAGCAUCAA